GACGAACGCUGGCGGCGUGCCUAAUACAUGCAAGUUGAGCGCUGAAGGUUGGUACUUGUACCGACUGGAUGAGCAGCGAACGGGUGAGUAACGCGUGGGGAAUCUGCCUUUGAGCGGGGGACAACAUUUGGAAACGAAUGCUAAUACCGCAUAAAAACUUUAAACACAAGUUUUAAGUUUGAAAGAUGCAAUUGCAUCACUCAAAGAUGAUCCCGCGUUGUAUUAGCUAGUUGGUGAGGUAAAGGCCCACCAAGGCGAUGAUACAUAGCCGACCUGAGAGGGUGAUCGGCCACAUUGGGACUGAGACACGGCCCAAACUCCUACGGGAGGCAGCAGUAGGGAAUCUUCGGCAAUGGACGAAAGUCUGACCGAGCAACGCCGCGUGAGGGAAGAAGGUUUUCGGAUCGUAAAACUCUGUUGGUAGAGAAGAACGUUGGUGAGAGUGGAAAGCUCAUCAAGUGACGGUAACUACCCAGAAAGGGACGGCUAACUACGUG
rnacentral:rRNA from 1 species